rnacentral:rRNA from 1 species
UACGUAGGGUGCGAGCGUUGUCCGGAAUUACUGGGCGUAAAGCGUGCGCAGGCGGUUAUGCAAGACAGAUGUGAAAUCCCCGGGCUUAACCUGGGAACUGCAUUGGUGACUGGCAGGCUUUGAGUGUGGCAGAGGGAGGUAGAAUUCCACGUGUAGCAGUGAAAUGCGUAGAGAUGUGGAGGAAUACCGAUGGCGAAGGCAGCCUCCUGGGCCAACACUGACGCUCAUGCACGAAAGCGUGGGGAGCAAACAGG